AAACAAAGUUAGCGUGCUACAAUAUCGGACAGCAGAAACCAACCAGAAAGUUCGGAAAAUUGUCUGAAUCCUCCUUUGGCCACGACUGCCGACACAAGCAAGAAAACACUCAAACAUAAACAGUCAGCAAGAAAACAGUCAACACCAAACCGGUUAACAAGAAAAUGGUCAACACCAAAACAGUCAACGUAAAACAGUCGGCAAGAAAACAGUUAACCAUAAUCAGUCAACAAGAAAACAGUCAACAAGAAAACAGUCAACCAUAAACAGUCAACAAGAAAACAGUCAGCAAAAAACAGUCAACCAUAAACAGUCAACAAGAAAACAGUCAGCAAGAAAACGUCAACCAUAAACAGCCAACAAAAAACAGUCAACAAGAAAACAGUCAACAAGAAAACAGUCAGCAAAAAACAGUCAACAAGAAAACAGUCAACCAUAAACAGUCAACAAAAAACAGUCAACAAGAAAACAGUCAGCAAGAAAACGUCAACUAUAAUCAGUCAACAAGAAAACAGUCAACCAUAAACAGUCAACACCAAAAGAGUCAACAAAAAACAGUCAGCAAGAUAACAGUCAACAAGAAAACAGUCAGCAAGAAAACAGUCAGCAAGAAAACGUCAACUAUAAUCAGUCAACAAGAAAACAGUCAACCAUAAACAGUCAACACCAAAACAGUCAACAAGAAAACAGUCAACAAGAAAACAGUCAGCAAGAAAACAGUCAGCAAGAAAACAGUCAACAAGAAAACAGUCAACAAGAAAAUGCUGCUCCCCCGUGUCGUUCAGGAGCCCAAACAAAGUUAGCGUGCUACAAUAUCGGACAGUAGAAACCAACCAGAAAGUUCGGAAAAUUGUCUGAAUCCUCCUUUGGCCACGACUGCCGACACAAGCAAGAAAACAAAGUAAAUACCGGAGACUCUGGAGUCUGGAGCAGGAGCGUCUGUUUGUGGGCGGGGCUUAAGAGAGGGAGGGGAGGAGCUGAGGGGAAAACUGGUUGGAGGGGUAGAGUUUACAUUCAAGAUUUCUCCUAAAAACUGGAACCUCCUCAGAUCCUGACUACAACACCUUUAA